rnacentral:tRNA from 1 species
AGGAACUUAGGAUUAUUUUAAACCAAUGGCCUUCAAAGCCUUAAAAAAGAGUUUAAGCUCUUAGUUCCUG